rnacentral:rRNA from 1 species
UACGAAGGGGGCUAGCGUUGCUCGGAAUCACUGGGCGUAAAGCGCACGUAGGCGGAUUUCUAAGUCCGGGGUGAAAUCCUGGAGCUCAACUCCAGAACUGCCUUUGAUACUGGGAAUCUAGAGUCCGGGAGAGGUGAGUGGAACUGCGAGUGUAGAGGUGAAAUUCGUAGAUAUUCGCAAGAACACCAGUGGCGAAGGCGGCUCACUGGCCCGGUACUGACGCUGAGGUGCGAAAGCGUGGGGAGCAAACAGG